GGAAUUGUAGCUCAUCUGGUAAAGCACUUGCUUUGUAUGCGAGAGAGCAUGGGGUUCACGUCCCUGCACCUCCA
rnacentral:tRNA from 1 species